CCUACGGGAGGCAGCAGUGGGGAAUUUUGGACAAUGGGCGCAAGCCUGAUCCAGCCAUGCCGCGUGCAGGAUGAAGGCCUUCGGGUUGUAAACUGCUUUUGUACGGAACGAAAAGACUCUGGUUAAUACCUGGGGUCCAUGACGGUACCGUAAGAAUAAGCACCGGCUAACUACGUGCCAGCAGCCGCGGUAAUACGUAGGGUGCGAGCGUUAAUCGGAAUUACUGGGCGUAAAGCGUGCGCAGGCGGUUAUAUAAGACAGAUGUGAAAUCCCCGGGCUCAACCUGGGAACUGCAUUUGUGACUGUAUAGCUAGAGUACGGCAGAGGGGGAUGGAAUUCCGCGUGUAGCAGUGAAAUGCGUAGAUAUGCGGAGGAACACCGAUGGCGAAGGCAAUCCCCUGGGCCUGUACUGACGCUCAUGCACGAAAGCUGGGGAGCAAACAGGAUUAGAUACCCUGGUAGUCCCACGCCUAACCGACUGUCACUGGUUGUUGGUUCGUUCUACU
rnacentral:rRNA from 1 species